rnacentral:SRP_RNA from 13 species
CCCCCGGACGCCGUCGGGCUGCCCCGCCCGAGCCUCGGCGGCCACGCGGUCGGCACGCACGGGAACUCCGCGAAGAGGCCGCAAGCGAAGGCCACG